UACGGGGGGGGCAAGCGUUGUUCGGAAUUACUGGGCGUAAAGGGCUCGUAGGCGGCCAACUAAGUCAGACGUGAAGUCCCUCGGCUUAACCGGGGAACUGCGUCUGAUACUGGAUGGCUAGAGGUUGGGAGAGGGAUGCGGAAUUCCAGGUGUAGCGGUGAAAUGCGUAGAUAUCUGGAGGAACACCGGUGGCGAAGGCGGCAUCCUGGACCAAUUCUGACGCUGAGUGAGCGAAAGCCAGGGGAGCAAACGGG
rnacentral:rRNA from 1 species